CGUCUAUAUACGUAUAGCAUAUCAAUAAGCGGAGGAAAAGAAACUAACAAGGAUUCCCUUAGUAACGGCGAGUGAAGCGGGAAGAGCUCAAAUUUGAAAUCUUCAAGGUUUUACCUUGACGAAUUGUAGUUUAUAGAAGUGUUUUCUGUUAGUGGAGUUUGGUAAAAGUUCUUUGGAAUAGGACAUCAUAGAGGGUGAGAAUCCCGUAUUUGAUCCAUUAUCUCCUAGCGUUGUGAUACACUUUCAAAGAGUCGGAUUGUUUGGGAAUGCAGUCCAAAAUGGGUGGUAAAUUUCAUCUAAAGCUAAAUACUGGCGAGAGACCGAUAGCGAACAAGUACCGUGAGGGAAAGAUGAAAAGAACUUUGAAAAGAGAGUUAAACAGUACGUGAAAUUGUCAAAAGGGAAGCGUUUGACACCAGUGUUGUUUUUCCGAAAAUCAGUUACGAAUGGUUUGAUUUCUGAGUAGUGAUGACCUUCAUCAGCUUUCCUUCAUCUUCUUCCGAGUCUUUUGUAAUGCACUUUUCGUCUAACAAGUCAACAGUCAAUUUCUUUUGUUGUAAAAGAGUAUUCGGAAGGUGGCUUUCUUUUCGGAGAAAGUGUUUAUAGCCCUAUACUUCUACAAUCGGAGAGAUUGAGGUCUGCAGCGUAGAUCCUUCGGGGUUAGAUACACUUGUGCUAAGUUAUAGCUUUCAUAGACAACUUGCUGACUAUGAUUAGUCAUGUCGCUUACUCGCUUAUGCUAUUUUACCUACGCUUAGGAUGUUGACUGAUAUGUAGUCGU
rnacentral:rRNA from 1 species